UCAGUAUAACAAAUGUAAAUCAUUUACAACUUUCAACAACGGAUCUCUUGGUUCUGGCAUCGAUGAAGAACGCAGCGAAAUGCGAUACGUAGUGUGAAUUGCAGAAUUCAGUGAAUCAUCGAAUCUUUGAACGCACAUUGCGCCCUUUGGUAUUCCAAAGGGCAU
rnacentral:rRNA from 1 species